rnacentral:rRNA from 1 species
UACGGAGGGUGCAAGCGUUAUCCGGAUUCACUGGGUUUAAAGGGUGCGUAGGUGGGAAAGUUAGUCAGUGGUGAAAAUUCUAAGCUUAACUUAGAAAUUGCCAUUGAUACUGCUUUUCUUGAGUCCGAUUGAAGUGGACGGAAUAUGGCAUGUAGCGGUGAAAUGCUUAGAGAUGUCAUAGAACACCAAUUGCGAAGGCAGUUCACUAAGUCGUAACUGACACUGAGGCACGAAAGUGUGGGGAGCAAACAGG